GUGCCUUCCGGCGCACGUUAGUUGGACGUACGCCCACUGUGGCUAUGGCUCGGGGAAGAGGACGAGCUCAUGGAAGACCUAGGUUGCAACCUUUAGCUGGUAUCAGCAAACCAGCUGAAUCUCUCAUGCAACCAGAUAAAACUCCAAUAAUUGAGAUAGUAAAGUCUCAUGUUUCAUUGGAUGGCGUAAGAAUGAAAUAACAUGAAAUUAAGGUGAUAAUACAAGGGCCUGCUAAGAGACUAGAUCUAAGUAUUAGUUCAUCUUUAAGCGGCCAAAAGGAUAAAUCAACUAAAAAAAUUUAAAGAUUUAGUGAGUACAAGCAAGAUUAUACCAGAUCCUGAACCAGUAAUUGAGAAGAAAUGGAGAACAGACGCAUGAACUUCCCUAUUUGCAGGUAACCAUAGCUUUGAGAAUGGGUUAAAACUAUCUUACAUCUCCCCUAUAAUUAUUGAUGGGAAAACUGUUGUGCAACCUGAAAAAGAGGAUGUUGAUAAAGAAAUUAUGAAAUGGAGAUGUGCUUUAAUUGUGUAUGUUAUUGGGAAAACUCCGGGUUACGACUUUAUGCAUAGAUUUGUAAAGCAGAGCUGGAAUCAAGUUUCAAAGCCAGAGGUGUUUUACCAUAUAGAAGGCUACUAUAUAGUCAAAUUUCAGUCCAUCAAUGACAUGCACAAAGUCCUCUAUUCUGGACCCUAUACAGUUAAUAACAAACCUUUUAUCCUGAAACCAUGGACUGUAAAUUGUGACUUUACAAAGAAAUUAGUCACUGAAAUUCCUCCGUGGAUGGUGCUACCAAACCUUCCUAUAAGUUGCUGGGGUGGUCAAUCACUGAGCAGAAUUUGCAAGUGCAAUAGGAAGACCUUUGUAUGAUGAUGAAUGCACUUCCAAGCAUAAGAGGAUAUCCUAUGUCCAUAUGCUCAUUGAAAUCAAUGUUACUCGACCACUUCCCUCUAGUCUUCACUGUGUGGGAACCUGAUGGGAGACAGUUUGAUCAAUCGAUAUAGUAUGACUGGAAACCAGAAUUUUGUGAAGUAUGUUUGAAAAUUGGCCACUCUUGCAAGCAAAUUGAGGUUGAUCAGCAUCCAGUUGAGCAUCCUAGAAGGAGAAGAAGACCAAAUGGAAAUACACGACUUGCUCCACAAACAGGCCCAUAACUAGUGGUAAGGGUGAUCCGAGAAUAAAGAACAAAGAAAACAGCUGAAGUGAGGGAAAAGCCUACUCAACAAUUAGAAACAAAUCAGCCAACUACAAAGACACAUGAUCAACAAGUUCUUGAGCAAGGAUAACAACCACUACCUAUUUGUGAAGAGCAGGCAAUGGUAAGAAGCAAAGAGAUUCACAAGGAGGAAAAUAUACCUCAGAGAAAUCUUGAAUUGAGCUGUACUAGCGAGUUUCAGCUUUGCCUACCAGCAUACAAAGAGUGAGCACAUCAAUAGGGAUAUCAGGUGGGAAUGAGAUUCAGAAAUGCUUGCCUGCAGCAGAUAGUGGGCCUCAUAUACUAGCCCAAUGACCUAGUAAGUGAGGAAUAUUAGAGGGAUUAACAAGAGAUAUAAACAAAAGGAUCUAAAGUUAUACUUAAAAAACAAAUACAUAAAACCAGCCGGUCUACUGGAAACUAGAGUUAAAGAAACCAGAGUCAAUAGAAUUUUCAAAAAUAUAUUAUCAGGCUGGGCAAUUCAAUGUAAUUACCAAAGUUCAGUGAAUGGAAGAAUAUGACUUACCUGGGAUCCUAAUGUAUACUGUGUGGAUAUCGAAAGAGUGUAGCCUCAGCUAAUCCAAUGCUUAGUUCAGGGUCUGAUGGAUGGUUUUGAAGCAUAUUUUACAUUAGCAUAUGGCUUUAAUACAUUAGAAUAGAGGAAUGCUCUAUGGACAAGUUUGAAUGAUAUCUCUGUCCAUAUGACUAAGCCUUGGAUAGUAACUGAAGAUUUAAAUGUCAUGUUAUACACAGGAUAUGUUGUAUUGGAAUCCAGUCAUAAUUCAUGAAAUGGCAGUCUUCUCAGACUGCAUUCAUACUCUUUUUUGAAUGAGCUGCUAUGGAAAGAAGAUUAUUAUACUUGGUCAAAUAAACGACAAGGAGCUGACAGGAUACUUAGUAUGAUUGACAGAGUAUUUGGCAAUGAUAUGUGGAGGAUGAACUGGGCAAAUGUGUGCAUUGAGCAUAACACUCCGUUGAUAUCUGAUCGCUCACAUAUGUUAUUCAAUAUAAGGUCUAUAAGACCCAAUAUUAAAUCACCUUUUCGGUUCUUUAAUGUGUGGGAAACUCAUGAGGAUUUUGAAGCAAUUAUGGAGAACAUAUGGAAGAGAUGAGCAGUUGAUGAUAAAACGGAGGACAUAUAGAAAAAAUUCAAAGCCCUUAAACCAUUUUUCAGAAGACUUAACACUGAAGAGUAUAAGGGCAUAACACGGAGAAUUGAGAAUGCUAGGUUGGAGCUCAUCACAGUGCAGAAAAAGAAGCAACAACACUACACUGACAACCUAUUAGAACAAGAGAAGUACACACUACAGGAGUUGGAGAAAUGGUCUCUAAUUGAAGAGAGCAUACUGAAGCAAAAAGCCAAGGAUAAAAUGGAUCGCUCUAGGAGAUGAUAACACUAAGUAUUUCUCUGCUAUUAUGAAAUAAAGAAGCCACAUGAAACAGAUUGUGGAGACUAUAACUAUGGAUGGAUGGAAGCUAGCUACACCUACUAGCAUCAAAGAAGAAUUCGUCAACUUUUAUAAGAAUCCGAUGGGAUCUUCUGCCAAGUCGUUGCCUGUGAUUAAUAAAGAAAUUAUGCAAAAUGGUCCCAAGCUCACUCAUGAUCAACAGCUCAGAUUAAUUGCAGAAGUUUCAGUGGAUGAGAAAUAUGAAAGUCUAUGUGUUAUCCACGAGAACAAGGUUGCUGGGUUUGAUUGCUACAAUUCAUGUUUAUUUAAAAAGGCAUGGCCGAUAAUUAAACAAGAGUAGUCCAAGAAGUUCAGGAGUUCUUCAUUUCUGUUAGGCUCGACAAAACUAUAAAUUGUACAACAAUAACCCUUGUCCCUGAAGUAAGUAAUCCAGCAACAGCAAAGGAAUUCAUAUUUAUUGUCUAUUGCACUGUCCUAUAUAAGAUCAUAUAAAAUUUUCUAGAAAAUAGAUUACAAAGAAAUUACUAGUGUCAUCAGUGAAUAUCAAGCAGACUUCAUUCCUGUGAGGAAAAUAGUAAACAACAUAAUUCUAUCCCAUGAUCUUGUUAAGGCAUACACAAGUAAUAACUUCUCUCCAAGAUGUAUGAUCAAAAUUGACCUAACAAAAGUAUAUGAUUCUGUUGAAUGGAUUUUUUUAGCAUGUGAUGGUAGAACUGAUAUUCCCUAUUGGAUUACAAUAGUGGGUGCUAGCUUAUGUGAAAACAUUGAGCUACUCUAUAAUUAUAAAUGGGGAACCUUCAGAACCAUUCCAACAGCUAAAGGGUUGAGGCAGGGAGAUCCGAAGUUUCCUUUCCUUUUUGCAAAAGCUAUGGAGUACUUGAGUCGAUGCCUAAAUGGAUUGAAAAAGAAUAGUGUAUUUAAACAUCAUCCCAGAUGUUCCAAGCUGGGAGUCACUCAUCUUAGCUUUACAGAUGACCUACUACUCUUUCAAGGGGUGAUAAGUCAUCAGUCACUCAACUGCAACAAUGCCUAAAUCAAUUUUACGAGGCUUUAGGCUUGAAAGCUAAUCAAAAGAAGAGUUCAAUCUAUUUGGGGGGUGUUGACACAAUUGGUAAGAGAAGAGAUACUACAUAAGUUAGGAUAUGCUAGAGGUAGAUUACCAGUCAAGUAUUUAGGAGUCCUCCCGUCCACAAAGAAGAUGUCAAUAGCUCAAUGGCAACCCUUGAUUGAGAAAAUAGUGGCAAAAAUAAUAUCAUGGACUGCUAAAAAUCUCUCGUAUGUUAGUCAUAUACAUUUGCAGUCUAUUUUGUUUGGUAUCCAGUCAUAUUGGUCACAGUUGUUCUUGAUCCCUAGUAAAGUGCUGAAGCCAAUUGAAGCUUACUGCAUUUGCUAUGUCCGGUCAGGAGAAAAUGUCCUCAGAUCAUUAGUAGCAUGGGAGAAGAUAUGUACACCUAAAAGUGCAGGUGGGCUUGAUCUAAUCAAACUCAAAGUCUGGAACAUAGCAACAACAUCAAAGAAUCACUGGAAUCUAGCAAACAAAGGAGACAAAAUAUGGAUAAAAUGGGUAAAUGCCUAUUAUAUAAAAAGGAAAAAAAAUUAUGAUAUGCCAAUACCUCAGCAGGCCUCUUAGCUAGUUAGAAAGAUGAUUGAGGCAAGAGACUUGGUGGAACCAACACAAAUUCUUACCAAGAGCAACAAUAGCAUGAUCAGACAAAUAUAUUAUAUGAUGCUUGGCCAUUUACCUAGAGUGGAAGGAAAGGUGUUUAUGUUCAGAAAUGACACAAGGGCUAAAGUUAAAUUCACCAUGUCGUUGUAUCUUCGGGACAUGAUGAUGACUAGUGAUAAGCUGUCUCGAUGGGGAAUGCAGUUGGACACCUU
rnacentral:lncRNA from 1 species